AUGGCGCUACCUUGUCCGCAGCUCAUCGUGCUAGAGACCGCCGUCGUAGCACCGUUGCCAGCGGGGGUGCUGGAGACCUCUCUCCCGCUAACCUUUCUGGACAUCAUCUGGCUCAACUCCCCACCGGUGGAGCGCCUCUUCUUCUACCGACUCAGCCCCUGCAACCGCGGCCAUGUCCUCUCCAACCUUAAGACAUCACUCUCCCAAGCACUCCACGCCUUCUACCCGCUCGCUGGCCGCCUCCGCCUCACGCCCGGCACCGCCGACCGCUACGAACUGCACUACGAUCCCGGUGACAGUGUCGCCUUCACCGUCGCCGAGUACGAGGUCGACGUUGAUGAGCUGGCGGUGGACGGCCCGAGGGAGGUCGCCAAGAUCUUACCGCUUGUGCCAACUCUCAGAGCUUCUGAGGGAGCCCCGCUAGCCCUGCAGGCCACUGUUCUGCGCGGCGGCCUCGCCGUCGGUAUGGUCCUGCACCAUGCCGCCUGCGAUGGGGCAUCCUCCACGCGCUUUCUCCACACCUGGGCGGAAGCUGCAGCCGGAGCGGCCGCCAUGCAGCUGCAGCCAACCCCUGUCAUGAACAGAAGGCUCGUCAAGGACCCAAGCAGCUUCUACCGUUCUACGACGUCUGCAAAGAGCCGCGGCCAGUGGGAGUUCGUGAAGAUGUCCAACAACAAACUCCUCGCCACCUUCACGUUGUCCAAGCAAGACAUACAGCGCAUCAAAGAAGUCGUGUUGGUUGCUUCCGGCGAGGCGCGAGCACCGCCGCCGCGCUGCUCCUCGCUGGUUGCCACCUUGGGCUUUAUCUGGUCAUGCUACCAGCGAGCUAAAGACGAUGACGAAGCAAUCCGUGGCGGCCACACCACCUACAUUGCCAUUUCUGUUAACCACCGCUCCCGGAUGAAGCCCGAUCCUAUCCCAAAUGACUACUUUGGUAACUGCAUUGGCCCCGCCAUGCAGGGCGCGCCCAAGGCACAACUUGUGGCUGCCGCCGCCAGCGGCCUCCUGGUCGCGUGUACCGCGGUGGCUACAGCGAUCGAGGAGUCCAGUGGCACGAGCAGAUUCAAGCUUUCAGAGUUGUGGGGAAAGAAGAUAAGAGAGGCCGUCGUGAGUGGUGGUGAUUUGCUGACCGCAGCCAGAUCGCCAAGGUUCCGGGUCUAUGAUGUUGAUUUCGGGUUCGGGAGGCCGGCCAAGGUGGAGAUCGUGUCUGUGGCAAGGACCGGUGCAAUGGCGGUGGCGGAGAGCCGCGGGAGAAACGCCGGCGAUGGCUUGGAGGUCGGCAUUUCUCUGCGUCCAGAUGGCAUGCGGAGGUUCCAAAAGUGCUUCGAUGAUGCCAUUGCAUGGCUUCAUCACCAUGAAAUAAGCUAG
rnacentral:rRNA from 1 species